rnacentral:rRNA from 1 species
GAUGAACGCUGGCGGCGUGCCUAAUACAUGCAAGUCGAGCGAACAGACGAGGAGCUUGCUCCUCUGACGUUAGCGGCGGACGGGUGAGUAACGCGUGGAUAACCUACCUAUAAGACUGGGAUAACUUCGGGAAACCGGAGCUAAUACCGGAUAAUAUAUUGAACCGCAUGGUUCAAUAGUGAAAGACGGUUUUGCUGUCACUUAUAGAUGGAUCCGCGCCGCAUUAGCUAGUUGGUAAGGUAACGGCUUACCAAGGCAACGAUGCGUAGCCGACCUGAGAGGGUGAUCGGCCACACUGGAACUGAGACACGGUCCAGACUCCUACGGGAGGCAGCAGUAGGGAAUCUUCCGCAAUGGGCGAAAGCCUGACGGAGCAACGCCGCGUGAGUGAUGAAGGUCUUCGGAUCGUAAAACUCUGUUAUUAGGGAAGAACAAAUAUGUAAGUAACUAUGCACGUCUUGACGGUACCUAAUCAGAAAGCCACGGCUAACUACGUG